AGGGCACCACCAGGAGUGGAGCCUGCGGCUUAAUUUGAUUCAACACGGGAAAACUCACCCGGCCCGGACACUGGAAGGAUUGACAGAUUGAGAGCUCUUUCUUGAUUCAGUGGGUGGUGGUGCAUGGCCGUUCUUAGUUGGUGGAGUGAUUUGUCUGGUUAAUUCCGAUAACGAACGAGACUCUAGCCUAUUAAAUAUUAUCGUUGGCUUACAAACGCCGGCGAGACUUCUUAGAGGGACAGGCGGCGAUUCAGCCGCACGAAACAGAGCAUUAACAGGUCUGUGAUGCCCUUAGAUGUCCGGGGCCGCACGCGCGCUACACUGAAGUGAUCAGCGUGCAUUUUGAAGCCUACUCUGUCAAGAGUGGGGAACCCAAUGAACCUUCUUCGUGAUUGGGAUAGGGGAUUGUAAUUAUUCCCCUUGAACGAGGAAUUCCCAGUAAGCGCGAAUCAUAAGUUUGCGCUGAUUACGUCCCUGCCCUUUGUACACACCGCCCGUCGCUACUACCGAUUGAAUGUU
rnacentral:rRNA from 1 species